rnacentral:pre_miRNA from 1 species
AGGAGGAACAGCCCAGUGGCGGGGCAGCUCUGGAAACCUGGAUUCAGCCCCCGCAGUAACUCCGGAGCUCUCCGUCUGCAGGGCCUGGAGGCUCCGGGGCGGG